CCCUAGCCCCGACUACAGUGAAAAUGCUUUUUGUUUUUCCUUAAAAAUAAAAAGGUUGAAACGAAAAGCGAGACACGAG
rnacentral:sRNA from 1 species